rnacentral:SRP_RNA from 1 species
GCCGGGCGUGGUGGCUCACGCCUGUAAUCCCAGCAUUUUGGGAGGCCGAGAUGGGCGGAUCUCCUGAGGUUGGGAAUUCGAGACCAGCCUGACCAACAUGGAGAAACCCCGUCUCUA